rnacentral:rRNA from 1 species
AUUGAACGCUGGCGGCAGGCUUAACACAUGCAAGUCGAGCGAGCGGCGGACGGGUGAGUAAUGUCUGGGAACCUGCCUGAUGGCGGGGGAUAACUACUGGAAACGGUAGCUAAUCCCGAAUACCAUCCGCUGUGCCCAGAGGGGAUGAGCUAGUAGGUGGGGUCAUGGCUAACCUAGGCGACGAUGCCUAGCUGGUCUGAGAGGGUGACCAGCCACACUGGAACUGAGACACGGUCCAGACUCCUACGGGAGGCAGCAGUGGGGAAUAUUGCACAAUGGGCGCAAGCCUGAUGCAGCAAUGCCGCGUGUGUGAAGAAGGCCUUCGGAUUGUAAAGCACUGUCAGUGAGGAGGCGUUACUCGAAGAAGAAGCACCGGCUAACUCCGUGCCAGCAGCCGCGGUAAUUC